AACUGGAAAAAUUGUCUCCGGCUCUCCGCCGCUCCCAAGGUAGGACGCACGAGGCCGCAGCAGCCGCGGUCGACGGCUCCCGGCGGUGCGCCGCUCCCAUGCGCGCACCACGGCGGCGAAUUCCGGAGUCUGAGGCAGCGGCAGGCGGGGCGGCUAUAAUUAAUGCUACAAAUCCUGCCGAUUUAAGCUUGUGAAGAUUCUGGAGUUAAACGGCGCAAUUCAAGCGUUUGUUCCAUCUAGUUUGGUUGUGCAGCAUGAUUUUACAAGUAUGUUUUGGUCUUGCGGAAGUGAGAACAACUGAUGAUCACAACAAGGUUGGUGAUGGUGAUAAAAUUACAAAGCUCACCCCAAAAAAUAAAAAUUACAAAGCUAUAGUUGUCUGUUUUCUGGCGCA